AGAGUUUGAUCCUGGCUCAGGAUGAACGCUGGCGGCGUGCUUAACACAUGCAAGUCGAACGAACCUUCGGGUUAGUGGCGGACGGGUGAGUAACGCGUGAGAAUCUGCCCUCAGGAGGGGGAUAACGGUUGGAAACGGCCGCUAAUACCCCAUAUGCCGCGAGGUGAAAUGAAUUUCGCCUGAGGAUGAGCUCGCGUCUGAUUAGCUAGUUGGUGUAGGUAAUGGCUCACCAAGGCAUCGAUCAGUAGCUGGUCUGAGAGGAUGAUCAGCCACACUGGGACUGAGACACGGCCCAGACUCCUACGGGAGGCAGCAGUGGGGAAUUUUCCGCAAUGGGCGAAAGCCUGACGGAGCAACGCCGCGUGAGGGAUGAAGGCCUCUGGGCUGUAAACCUCUUUUAUCAAGGAAGAAGAUCUGACGGUACUUGAUGAAUAAGCCACGGCUAAUUCCGUGCCAGCAGCCGCGGUAAUACGGGAGUGGCAAGCGUUAUCCGGAAUUAUUGGGCGUAAAGCGUCCGCAGGCGGCCCUUCAAGUCUGCUGUUAAAAAGUGGAGCUUAACUCCAUCAUGGCAGUGGAAACUGUUGGGCUUGAGUGUGGUAGGGGCAGAGGGAAUUCCCGGUGUAGCGGUGAAAUGCGUAGAUAUCGGGAAGAACACCAGUGGCGAAGGCGCUCUGCUGGGCCAUCACUGACGCUCAUGGACGAAAGCCAGGGGAGCGAAAGGGAUUAGAUACCCCUGUAGUCCUGGCCGUAAACGAUGAACACUAGGUGUCGGGGGAAUCGACCCCCUCGGUGUCGUAGCCAACGCGUUAAGUAUUCCGCCUGGGGAGUACGCACGCAAGUGUGAAACUCAAAGGAAUUGACGGGGGCCCGCACAAGCGGUGGAGUAUGUGGUUUAAUUCGAUGCAACGCGAAGAACCUUACCAGGGUUUGACAUCCUGCGAAUCUCUUGGAAACGAGAGAGUGCCUUCGGGAACGCAGUGACAGGUGGUGCAUGGCUGUCGUCAGCUCGUGUCGUGAGAUGUUGGGUUAAGUCCCGCAACGAGCGCAACCCACGUCUUUAGUUGCCAGCAUUUAGUUGGGCACUCUAGAGAGACCGCCGGUGAUAAACCGGAGGAAGGUGUGGAUGACGUCAAGUCAUCAUGCCCCUUACAUCCUGGGCUACACACGUACUACAAUGCUACGGACAAAGGGCAGCAAGUUCGCGAGGACAAGCAAAUCCCAUAAACCGUGGCUCAGUUCAGAUCGUAGGCUGCAACUCGCCUACGUGAAGGAGGAAUCGCUAGUAAUCGCAGGUCAGCAUACUGCGGUGAAUACGUUCCCGGGCCUUGUACACACCGCCCGUCACACCAUGGAAGUUGGCCACGCCCGAAGCCGUUACUCCAACCCUUGUGGAGGGGGACGUCGAAGGUGGGGCUGAUGACUGGGGUGAAGUCGUAACAAGGUAACC
rnacentral:rRNA from 1 species